rnacentral:rRNA from 1 species
GACGAACGCUGGCGGCGUGCCUAAUACAUGCAAGUCGAGCGCAGGAAGCCGUCUGAACCCUUCGGGGGGACGACGGUGGAAUGAGCGGCGGACGGGUGAGUAACACGUAAAGAACCUGCCCAUAGGUCUGGGAUAACCACGAGAAAUCGGGGCUAAUACCGGAUGUGUCAUCGGACCGCAUGGUCCGCUGAUGAAAGGCGCUUCGGCGUCGCCCAUGGAUGGCUUUGCGGUGCAUUAGCUAGUUGGUGGGGUAACGGCCCACCAAGGCGACGAUGCAUAGCCGACCUGAGAGGGUGAUCGGCCACACUGGGACUGAGACACGGCCCAGACUCCUACGGGAGGCAGCAGUAGGGAAUCUUCCACAAUGGACGAAAGUCUGAUGGAGCAACGCCGCGUGAACGAUGAAGGCUUUCGGGUCGUAAAGUUCUGUUGUAAGGGAAGAACAAGUGCCGCAGGCAAUGGCGGCACCUUGACGGUACCGUGCGAGAAAGCCACGGCUAACUACGUGCCAGCCGCCGCCGUAAUAC